AUUUGCAACGACCAUUAUAUGAAAUGUUUCCCCGGUAAAAGCGCAUUGGCAUUUCAAUGGGCUGCUGUCCUGUGAGCGGAGAGCGGGAGUAAGGAUUCAGCUUGCUUAAUGCGCGAACCUUGAUUUCUGUAAAAAAUUAAAAAGGAGGGUUCGCCUUGACGAUUGAACAAUUAGCUCUGAGCGGCGAUUCAUUAGAAAACAGUUUUGAGAGUGUGGUUUGGUUUUUGUAUUUUUUUUGGAUUGUGCUGGAAUUUUUCAUUUUCUGCCGCAGCUGCUGCUUCUCUCUCGGCGCCGCAGAGAGGAGCUCAGGCUAGCAGAUGGUCACAGGGUAGCUCUGCACUAACAGAGCAGCGUUCCUUAGGAGUCGUGGGAAAACCUUUGGAUGUACUCUCCUGCCUUCUGCUCUGGGUAUUCAGAGAGCCGGGGAGCUGAGACGGGCUUAAUAAAGACAAAACAAAGACACGAAUACAAAGGAAACAGUGUGUAGUGAGGGGAGGGGUAAUAAUAAUGCUUUAUCAUUGAAAAGAACUGGGGUCACAUAAGCUGCCUUUGCUAAUAGCUUUGGUUUGAUAAAAUAAAGAAUUGAAACAACAACAAAAAAAAAACCCAAGCAUGAUACCAUGAGUAUCUCUUAAUAAAUAAUUAGGGGAGGGGGGACGGGGGGGUUUAAAUUCAGAUUUAUUUCUCACUCCGGUGAAGGAAUGAAUUUGUAUUUUUAUGGUUGUCAUUACUGCAUGUGAAAGUGCUAAAGGAACGUGUUUGAACACAUUUCCACGGCAUCUGCAGAAUCUUUGAAUUUGUAAUCAGAACCCGUGAUCAGAAUCUCCUAGAUGAUUCCUGUAAUGUGAUUGAUCGCAUCUCGAGCCUUUUCUGGACAUGUCAUAUACAGAUGCGUGGAUAAGAAUGAAGUGUCUUGAUAAAGACACACAGAUAAAGCGUCUGGAUGUGGCUCAGAGGAUAAGUGAUGGUCCAUUGCCCUGCCUGUGAUCGUGGCCUCCGUUUUGCUCAGCUUUGUGAUCUGUGGCAGCCGGGGAGUUAUAAGAAGUUGUCUUGCCAGUUGUUAAAGGGUUCUUCAGCCUGUGUCAGUUUUGUUCUGUCCUUCUCCACUGUCUGCUCUCCCUAAAGAGAAGAAGGACAACACAGAGAAAUUGACUGGAUUCACCUGACUCUUGUAUGGCAAUGGCAGUGACCUGUGAAAUCGGUGCGUUCUUGUGAAGUGGAAGCGCUCCCAGCUGACAUGUGCACACUGCACUGGAUCCUGGGAUUUCACUUUGCAGUAGCGCUGCAGAUGGACCUUCCUAGUCGUUGAAAGUGAUCUCAUCUCACCCACAAUGCUCUUGGAAACGACUUGCUUGAAGAAGAGCAGGAGGAGAGUGACUGGUGAAAGUAAGAGUACACCUAUGAAUCCUCACACCCCCCAUGAGGUUCAGUAGAGUUUUCUGGGACGGUACAUUUCCAAAGUGAAAAAGGUAAAGAGUGAUAUUCAAAGUUAGCAUUAUUUGUAUAAGACUUCAUUCAGAACGCGUCCCUCAUAACACAGUAUAGUUUCUACCCAUACCAAAAAGUUAUGGACACACAUUUAACUUCAUAACAUAUUGUUCAGGAUUUUACCGGUUGAGUACAUUGUGAUCCAGCACUUUGCAAUUACCCUGCAUACUGCUUCCAGAUGUUUUCAGCUGCCCAUUACGUGUGCUCAAUGCAUCUCAUUUUAGCAAGGUCUGUGUAUGUGUACAAGCCAGCAGUAAUGUUAGCCCAGUGUGGAAAGCUUCUCACUGUAAUCUCUGUGCAUGUACUGUACUGUAGGCUAUUUUUAGUCCCCAUGUAUGAUUGUUAAAUAUUGUUUUGCCGCCUUCCUUGCAAUAAAGACAAGCUGCGAUGCAGGAGACACGUUUCUUUCUCUUUCUUUCUAGAGCCCUGACUUGUUUAUUUCUGAUUUGGUCACUUUGUUGGGUGUGUUUUUGCGUUCUGAAAAAUAAAGAAAGUGUGCAGUAAAUGUAUUGUCCAGUUUUACAGCUUUCCUACCUCGCAAGACACUGAAGCAGCCAGCCGACAUGCGGGGACUUACAGGAAGUGACCGGCUGAAAGAAGAACAUUAAGAACCAUAAAACACAAGGUUCUGCAGUGGCUUUCAAACUGGUUUCCAUGGAAUCUACUCCAGCUAUUCCCACCUGGAGAGAGAACCGUCCCUGUUUUUAUAAAUGUUUACCACAGUAAAAACAUAGCAAAGUGUAAUAAAGCAUUGUGCAAGCAUGGUAAAGCUUAGGGUAAGCAUAGUAAAGAAUAGCGAGGUAUGGUAAAACAAACAUACAGGGCAGAAAAGACAGAACUCCCACAGGAGCCCUCUCCUGAGUGGAGGAGAAGCAGUGACACACAUGGAGGCCAGUGCAGUGUUCUCUGCUCUGCGUGUAGGUUUAAGUGCAGCAUUCUCUGCUGUGCAUGCAGGUAUCAGUGCAGCAUUCUCUGCUCUGCGUGCAGGUUUCAGUGCAACGUUCUCUGCUUUGCAUGCAGGUUUCAGUGCAGCAUUCUCUGCUGUGCAUGCAGGUUUCAGUGCAGCAUUCUCUGCUCUGCGUGCAGGUUUCAGUGCAGUAUUCUCUGCUCUGCAUGCAGGUUUCAGUGCAGCAUUCUGCGUGCAGGUUUCAGUGUAGCAUUCUCUGCUCUGCGUGCAGGUUUCAGUGCAGCGUUCUCUGCUCUGCAUGCAGGUUUCAGUGCAGCAGUCUCUGCUCUAUGUGCAGGUUUCAGUGCAGCAUUCUCUGCUGUGCAUG